UAGCCAAGGAUGACUUGCCUAUGUUCAAAACCAAUUUUGAAAUUGGUAAUUAUAUUAUAUAGGCAGUCAUCUUGGGCUAUC